UACUUUCUUUAAAAGAAAUAAUUUGCACUACAAAAAUGGUAUAUAUCGACACUUUUAAAUAUAGGUAUAGAUAAAAAAAAGUGCUGCUGACUAAAUUACCGACACUUUUAAAAAGUGUUGCUAUAUGUGUGAUCGCUAGAUAUAUAGUAACAGUUUAAGAGUAUAUGUAUAAUCUAAAAAGAAUGCUGCUAAUUUACCAACACUUAUUUAAGUAUUUAACAAUCGCUGGAACUCUAUCUCGUUGGCUGCAAUGGCAGAGGAGGAGGAGAACGAAGGGCUUUUCGUCUAGGAUUUCAAUGGAUUGAUUGAGGGAAGAAGGGAAGAUGGUGAUCGAUUUUUCUUUUUUGUUUCCUUUUCUAUUUGUAAUCGGACCGAAUGGGCUGGAUAGGGUGAGUUGAAUAGAGUAACCUUUUAUUUUUUGUUGGAUUGGACUUUAUAUUUUGUCACGCCUCAGAUUACUCGUUCCCCGGGCACACCGACAAAUCCGCCGUAUACAAAUAAAUUUUUCCUGCAUACGAAACGAUAGCUGUACCUGUAAAAUAUACAAUACUACAAACAGUAGUAUAGAGCUGCUAGAAGAACCAGUAACAAAAACAAACCGAGUUCCAUAUACAUACGCCAAAUCCAAGAUACAAAACUACUCACACCGGCGAGUUAAAUAUAUGUAUGUACAUGAACUCCAACCAAAAACAACUACCUGCUGUAGGGGCACCUCUAGCUCGGCUUGUCGAGUAGGGCUCUAACUCGCGACGUCCUUGCCUCGAUCCUAAUAAGCAACAACAGCAGCCGAAGACGAUGGCUCUGCAAAACGGGGUAACAACAGGGCGUGAGAACUACUAUAAAAACAAGUAGUCCUCAGUGGGUGCCGCCCUCAACAUCAUCGGUCCACCCACUAAGUCUACAGAAGGGAGCAAAGGUAGUAAUAAAUGCUGGAAUAAAAUCUACAGCUACCAUUUAUUACACUAUCAUGC
rnacentral:lncRNA from 1 species